GAUGAACGCUGGCGGCGUGCCUAAUACAUGCAAGUCGAGCGAAUGGAUUAAGAGCUUGCUCUUAUGAAGUUAGCGGCGGACGGGUGAGUAACACGUGGGUAACCUGCCCAUAAGACUGGGAUAACUCCGGGAAACCGGGGCUAAUACCGGAUAACAUUUUGAACCGCAUGGUUCGAAAUUGAAAGGCGGCUUCGGCUGUCACUUAUGGAUGGACCUGCGCCGCAUUAGCUAGUUGGCGAGGUAACGGCUCACCAAGGCAACGAUGCGUAGCCGACCUGGGAGGGUGAUCGGCCACACUGGGACUGAGACACGGACCAGACUCCUACGGGAGGCAGCAGUAGGGAAUCUUCCGCAAUGGACGAAAGUCUGACGGAGCAACGCCGCGUGAGUGAUGAAGGCUUUCGGGUCGUAAAACUCUGUUGUUAGGGAAGAACAAGUGCUAGUUGAAUAAGCUGGCACCUUGACGGUACCUAACCAGAAAGCCACGGCUAACUACGUGCCAGCCGCCGCAGUAA
rnacentral:rRNA from 1 species